rnacentral:rRNA from 1 species
AUUGAACGCUGGCGGCAUGCCUUACACAUGCAAGUCGAACGGUAACGGGCCUUCGGGUGCCGACGAGUGGCGAACGGGCGGGUAAUACAUCGGAACGUGCCCGAUCGUGGGGGAUAACGAGGCUAAAGCUUUGCUAAUACCGCAUACGAUCUACGGUUGAGAGCAGGGGACGGCAAGGGCUUGCGUGGGCGGAGCGGCCGAUGGCGGAUUAGGUAGUUGGUGGGGUAAAAGCUUACCAAGUCGACGAUCUGUAGCUGGUCUGAGAGGAUGAUCAGCCACACUGGGACUGAGACACGGACCAGACUCCUACGGGAGGCAGCAGUGGGGAAUUUUGGACAAUGGGCGCAAGCCUGAUCCAGCCAUGCCGCGUGCAGGAUGACGGCCUUCGGGUUGUAAACUGCUUUUGUACGGAACGAAAAGCCUUCUUUUAAUACAGGGGGGUCAUGACGGUACCGGAAGAAUAAGCACCGGCUAACUACGUG